rnacentral:lncRNA from 1 species
AGUGAUGGCACAGUGGAGCCCUGGGUGUCAGUCUUUCCUUAAGUAGUUCAGUCUGUCUUUAGUAGUUCAGUCUCUGCCAAUACAAAUACUUGAAGUGAACUUCAAUUUCUUUCUUCUUGUUUUACUGAAGCUGUAAUCUUAAAUUUAAUCUUUGCAAAUUGGCUACUGUUAAAUAGACUUCCUGGUAAAAAAUGAGCUACUGAAAUCUUAGAAAGCCUGAGAAGAAUACUUUUUUUUGUGUUGACAAGCUGAUCUUAAGUCCCCCAAGAAAUAAACUGAAUGAUUAAGACAUUCACUUAAAAGAAUGUGGAUUCUUGAAAGCCCAUCUUAUAAAUUAUUUUUUGAAUCAUAGAGAAACCUGCCACCAUUAUACUAAUUGGCAUCAUUUUGACAUUUGUACAUUUUUGUCAUAUUAAUUUAUCCUGUAGUACUCUCUAUUAUAGAAAACACAGUGCAACAUGAAAUUAUCUAAUUAACAAUAAGAAAAACUGUGAAAGAUUUGUUUUCAGCGAUUCAGAUUUUGGGGAAAUAGAACGGUGGGUGGAAUCUCAGCUUUAUAAAUGUUCCUCUGUUCUUGGACUUAGCUAGACAACUGUAGGCAUGGUGGGACUUUGAGAUUGUCCCUUUCUCUUCAUUACUUAGACAUUUAGUAAUAUAGUUUUAGUCUACUUGUUCACUUUAAAACUCCAUAAGAUUGGCAGAUUAUACAUUUAUUCACAUUCUCUUAAAUUUUUUUUCUUUUUGAGGAGAUGGUAGAAAAAGCAUACUUUUUGUACUUAGGAUUAUUUUAGCCUUGAUUAUCAAGGAAAAUUUUACAUUUGCUUCUAGAGAAGUGAAUUCAGUAAUGGAAGAAAAAUUUAAGUUUAUAAUAGCUUGGGGUUUCCUAGGCUGAGAAUGUUUCUGUUAGCUUAAAAUGACGAAAGUGAUUUGUCUAAGUUAGUAUGCAAAAUUAUGGUGAUGGAAAGUCUAGCAAGUUUGUGAAAAGAGUUUGUACAAAAACCUCAACAGCUGUUGUAAUGGCUGCAAAUGACCAGUUGCUUUGGAAACCUAAUGGAAUUUGGAAUAAGAUUCAUGUGUGGUUUGAAAAAUUUUCAUCUAAAGGUGGAUUAACCUUUUUUUAAAGAAAAAAAUACUGGUCAUUUUUCUCUUUUAAAACUUCCUAAAUAACAUAAUAUGCAAAUUUCAUAUUAUAGAAUGGCCAAAUUAUAGUUCUAGAAAUUAUUGAGUAGAAAAGUUUUCUAUUGAAAUUGCAAAUGAAUAUAAAUUGGUAGUUGCAGAUAGGAAUGUGUUGUUACAUUUCACUAAUGUAGUACUCUUUUUUGUUGAGGGUUUUUGCUAAGCUUUCUCAAAUGACACUUAAUGGUAGAAAUCUGCUUUCUUUUACAAUUUUCAUAUGGAGGUUCCCAGGCUAGGGGUCGAAUAAGAGCUGUAGCUGCUGGCCUGUGCCACAGCCACAGCCACAGCCACUUGGGAUCCAAGCUGUGUCUGUGACCAGCACCACAGCUCCUGGCAACACUGGAUCCUUAACCCACUGAGCAAGGCCAGGGAUCAAACCUGCAACCUCAUGGAUGCUAGUCAGAUUCGUUUCUGCUGAGCCAUGACGGGAACUCCAGGAUUGAGUUUUUUCUCGCUGCCCUCCUGGAUUAUGUUUACAAUCUUUUUCACACCUAGAUUAUUAAUGUAAAAUGAUAUUCCUAACAUAGUCAGAAGUUGAAGGAAUCCUAAAAAGUUGUUUGGGUUUGCUCUGGCUUUAGGCACUUUUAUCUUUAAAAUGUCUCAGAGAUGAGAUCUAUGUUCUUUGAAGCAUUCUAUUGCAGUAGUUUAUCAAAACAAAAAUCCAUCCUUCUCUUUGCUUGGCUUAUUGUUUCUUGCACAGGUUAUUGAAUUGACUGAACUGAAUACCUGUUUAGUGUGGUAAAACCCUUUUCCUUUUUUAUUUGACAAUCCUGAGCCAAAGAGUAGGUAGCUGGUUUUGGAGUUCUGCUUGCUCUGCUGCAAACCAUCUUAGCCAGGAGUUGCAGCAGGUAAAGUCAUUGAAGAAUAUUUUAUUUAUAUACAGAACAACUAAAUAUAUUUUAGUAGCUACUACCUGUUAAAUUUUGUUUUCUUUCACAGGAUGAUAGCAAAUAGUAUUGACCAGAUGUGACUUGUAUUUAUGUCAAAUAGAUCAUACGUCUUUGUGUUUAUGAUUAGCACUUGCCCCAAAAUGAGAUUGGUGUGCUUUUACGCCUCUUUCAUUUUUUGAGUUAUAAUCAGAGGGUUGCCCUUAAGUGUGUAGAUUAAUAGUAGGGUACAUUUAUAAUGUGGGCAUAUCUGUUAAGGCUAUUUGUACUUCAUGUUUUUUUUUCUUGUCUAGUCCUAGACUGGAAGAAACUUUUUUUUUUCUGAUUUCCUAAACUUUUGAUCAUUUUUCAGUGGUUCUCAACAUUAUCAGCACAUUUUUAAUAUCGUCUCUCAGAUGAGAAAAAUUAAAAGAAACUUGUUAUUGUUAGGUAUUCCGGAAGGAUAGCUGCAAUUUUAUUUGCAAUACUCUAUUUUUACUUAUGUAAUUGCUGAAAUUUUUGCUUUUUAGAAUAGAACCCAUUAUUGCUGAUUCAUAGUUACUUUAAUAAUUCCCUGGGUACCUUAGAAACCUUUUAGGGGUAUUUUAACAAAACAUGUGCUGCCUUCCCCCCUUAAGUUAACAGAAAGUAAAGCAUUUGAAAAGGAAAGUAGUUUCGUGAAAGGAGGAUAUAAAAUGAGUUUUGAAGGUGGAAGAUAUGGGGAAUAUUCAUCCAUGAAUUGGGAACUCCAUGGGAAAAGGCAAGAGACCAUUCAUUAAUAAUUAAAUUAUUCUAAGAGGCAUGAGAAGUUUUGAUUGUUUAGAUUUGGUGAGGCUAGCCAGAGGGAAGAGAAAUUAGACAUGC